rnacentral:tRNA from 1 species
AAGUCUAUGUGUUUGUCUUAGUCCUGCUAAGUCUAAAGACUGCGGUUCAACUCCGUAGAUGCUUC